rnacentral:rRNA from 1 species
UACGUAGGGUGCGAGCGUUGUCCGGAAUUACUGGGCGUAAAGAGCUCGUAGGUGGUUUGUCGCGUUGUUCGUGAAAACUCACAGCUCAACUGUGGGCGUGCGGGCGAUACGGGCAGGCUAGAGUCCGGAAGAGGAGAGCGGAAUUCCUGGUGUAGCGGUGGAAUGCGCAGAUAUCAGGAAGAACACCCGUGGCGAAGGCGGUUCUCUGGGACGGUACUGACGCUGAGACGCGAAAGCGUGGGGAGCGAACAGG